rnacentral:rRNA from 1 species
AACGAACGCUGGCGGCAGGCUUAACACAUGCAAGUCGAACGCACCUUUCGGGGUGAGUGGCAGACGGGUGAGUAACGCGUGGGAAUCUACCCUUCUCUACGGGAUAGCUCCGGGAAACUGGAAUUAAUACCGUAUACGUCCUGAGGGAGAAAGAUUUAUCGGGGAAGGAUGAGCCCGCGUUGGAUUAGCUAGUUGGUGGGGUAAAGGCCUACCAAGGCGACGAUCCAUAGCUGGUCUAAGAGGAUGAUCAGCCACAUUGGGACUGAGACACGGCCCAAACUUCUACGGGAGGCAGCAGUGGGGAAUAUUGGACAAUGGGCGCAAGCCUGAUCCAGCCAUGCCGCGUGAGUGAUGAAGGCCCUAGGGUUGUAAAGCUCUUUCAGUGGGGACGAUAAUGACGGUACCCACAGAAGAAGCCCCGGCUAACUUCGUG